GAUGAACGCUCGCUACAGGCUUAACACAUGCAAGUCGCGGGGCAGCAUGGGGGUUGCUUGCAACUCCCGAUGGCGACCGGCGCACGGGUGAGUAACGCGUAUCCAACCUGCCCUUCACCACGGGAUAACCCGGCGAAAGUCGGACUAAUACCGUAUGUUGUCCAUUGACGGCAUCCGAUUUGGACGAAGGGCUUUCCGGUGAAGGAUGGGGAUGCGUCCGAUUAGCCAGACGGCGGGGUAACGGCCCACCGUGGCUACGAUCGGUAGGGGUUCUGAGAGGAAGGUCCCCCACACUGGAACUGAGACACGGUCCAGACUCCUACGGGAGGCAGCAGUGAGGAAUAUUGGUCAAUGGGCGUAAGCCUGAACCAGCCAAGUAGCGUGCAGGAUGACGGCCCUAUGGGUUGUAAACUGCUUUUAUGCGGGGAUAAAGUGGCCCACGUGUGGGCUUUUGCAGGUACCGCAUGAAUAAGGACCGGCUAAUUCCGUG
rnacentral:rRNA from 1 species